UUAGUUAUAUAAAAUAUAGCAUUAGAUGGAUGCCUAGAAUUUAAAUUAAUUACGUAAACAUUUUUACGAUAUUUAUAAAGUAAAUAAUUUAUUGAUAUAUUUAUUUAUUUGCAAUUUAUAAAUUUAAUUAAAUAUUAACGAAGUGAAACAUCAUAGUAGUUAAUUAUGAAACUCAAUUGAGAUUAAUGUAAUGGUGAGUAAACAUUAAUAGUUUUAUAUUUAAAAUAAAUUGAAAUUUUUUGAAUAAAAUACCAUAGAAGGUGUUAGUCCUGUAAAUUU
rnacentral:rRNA from 1 species